ensembl:lncRNA
GCUAAUAGUAUAAUAAGGGCGCGCACUGGUUCGGUGACUAUGCUACUGUCGUCAUGUUCAUAUUUUGUCUCACUUCAAAUCCAAAAGAUGAAAUGUAGUUUAUUUCAUCAGUUUUUCAACGUAUCACCAGACAUUACUGUUAUUGUAGCGGUUGCCUGGAGGAAAGAAGAGGUACCUCUCCUUGGAGACUUCCCGGGAUGCAAAACUCAAGCGCAAGACACAAGAGUGGAGUGCAAUACUGCUGCUGUCUGAUUGGCGAACCGUCCAUCGCUUCAUCUUUUCACAUUAGUUCUACCCGACGAAGCUCUAACCAGGUCUAUUGCAACCAGGACUUGACCACGAGACAUGUAACUUGUAGAGAAAGUAGGAUAAUAUUUGUCUCGGGUUUGUUUAGUCGGAAAAGCCUAUUAUUUAAGAAAUAGGCGGACGCCCUUUCGGUGGUGCUGAAGAUAGGAGGACUUGGCUGAUCUACGAGUGAGGAGAAUCAGUACACGAACCCACACUUAUCUGCCCGGUCUUGUCAGCUUUAUGAUAUCAGGUGCUUUCGCUAAGGCAGCAGUCUGAGCUGAGGCAGGAUAGCAGGAUGCUGUGGGUGGAGUGUAGGAUAGUGGACGCCCUGCGUGGGAGAAGACGGAUGAGGGCCACGGCCGUCAAGCUGCCCUGCUCCUUCUGGUUCCUCCUGCUGUUCGGGGCCGGAGGCCUUGUCCUCUUCAUACACCUCCAGGACCUCUCAGAGAUGGUCCAGCAACAGGCUCCAGAUGAUGCAGUGAUCCUCAACAGAAACGGAUGAUGCAGUGAUCCUCAACAGAAACAGAUGAUGCAGUGAUCCUCAACAGAAACAGAUGAUGCAGUGAUCCUCAACAGAAACGGA